ensembl:lincRNA
GCAUGGAGCAUCCCAGAGGCUGUGGACAUUAGGAUCAUACUCGAACUUUCUGAAGGUUUUGUUUGGUCAGAUUCAUGGAGCGGAGGAUGCCUGUUGUUCUUCACAAAGCCCCUGUGAUAUGAUUCUUUUCACCCAAACUUCUUCCAGAGCUCUGGAGAUUUAGUCAAGUCCAGUGUGCUUGAAAAGAUUUUUUUUCUCUUUCCUUUUUCACUUUUGGUGGCGCAAUCCCUGUUGACAGCUUGGCUUUGGAGGGUUUCAUCUUACCAGCAACUGGGCUGCCAUGGGGCUUGGCUUCCCAGUGUGGAGGUGCAGGGGUCUCUGAGCGAGCCCACACAUUCUGCGUCCUUGUCACACUGCUCUACACCCCGGGGUUUUCAGUAAAGGCUCUUUCCUGACAAAUUAAGUCCAAAGGGUGAUGGGAAACACAGUAACCUUUCUCUGUUCUUUUCAUGGUUUCCUGCCAGGAUUUGCUGUUUGGUGACAUGGGAACACUGCACUAAGAUGACUUUUCCGCGAGUUGAUCACUGAUGAUUUUGGCUGUGACACAGAGCAUUAUUAGUAGUGCGACUGACUAACAUGAAUAAUAGUGAUUCUCAUAACAAAAGGAAUGUAGCCACAAUAAGAGAAAAAUCUUAGCCAACAGAAUGAUUUGAGGAAAACGCUAUUGAUAAUGAAAUGGGGCUUAUUGAAUUAACUGUUCCAUUUAGCAGACACAUGAGCAGAACCCAGGAUGGAAGAAUGUAAUCACCAGCGUGACUCCAGUGAUGGAGAUGAACUAGAUGUGGAGACUGGGGAGCAGCAGAGUCAACUCAGUUAUCAUCUUGGCGGCCGGGCUGCCGUCCAGCUCACAGAAGCCACCUGAUCCGGAAAAGAUUUCCAACGCCUGCUGGAGUAAGUUUGGCAGCUGUUUCCAUACAGGCAGAGGCCAGUGUCAUCUCCAGCACCUGGGGGACAUAAGAGAAAGAGCCAGUGGCCUUCCUCCAAGACAAUCUCAGUGUCUUCCCACUCACAGAACCAGGCAACAAAGAAGUCUGUGGCGUCCACAGGAGGGAAACAAAGCAAAACGAAGCGCCGACCAGUGCGGUACUAUUAAUUCAAAUUAAUGACCCUCACCUACAAAUAAAGCUGGUGCCUGGCAGGUCGCUGGCUCUUGGAGAGGUGCAAUGAGAACAAACGUGGCUUUGCCGUCUGGCCAGGCAAUCGAUGCCUCCUGCCUGUCCCUGGCCGCCCCGCACCCACCUCUUACAGACGUUACCUGUCUCCUGUUAAUUCUCCCGUGUCACUCUCCACUUCCCCGGUGGGGGUGGGGGGGCGGUCAAGGGUUGGCCUGGAGGGUGGGCUUAUUUCAUAAGAAAGGCCGAUUGAAAGGGCCCAGAUGCAAAGUCACACUGCUCUGCGGAGCUGGGAGGACACCCCACUGAGAGACGUGUCUGAAAUGGGUGGAGGUCUCUGGGCAUCGCUGGCAGGGGCGGGUGCCUGACUGUCAUUUAGGGACAUUUCUGCCUUGAUCUGUCGCUCUUAUUUAUCUCUGCCAAAAUAAAGAUGUGUUUGAUGAUAAAGACUUCUUUUAUUCAGCCUCUCAGUUACUCCAGCACGGUAGUUAGAGAUGAAUACAAUGUUGCCCUUAAGCUACAACCUGAUCUUCACAGAAACCCUUUGAAGAAGGUAAGUUUAGUUUUACUUUAAGACUGG